AUGGGCAAAAGCCCCUGCAAUUCUUGUUGUAUAUUAAUCAGAUCCCUUGUAGACCUUGCACUUUUAUUUUUUUUCCUUGGGAUUAACAUCAGGCAAAGUGUCAUCAAAUUCUGUCAGACAACCUGUAGCCAGAGAGAGGAGUGAGAAUGUGUGAGAAGAACCACCCUGCAGACACCAAGAGUUACUGAAGACAGUAAUUGUAUGUAUGGAUUCACUAACAGAUGCAGUUAAUAUCAUCAACAGCAGUUGCUCUUCAGAAGCUCAGUGUAACCUGAGGUCUGGGACCGCAGAUGGGAUCUAAAGAUCCCCUUAGACAUGAGGAGUGGAACCCCCCAGGUGUUUGAGAAGUGGCAGAAGCACAGCAGUAGUGACCAAGCCC